rfam:Saitoella complicata NRRL Y-17804 DNA, contig: contig032, whole genome shotgun sequence.
GCCUUCGUGGCUCAGCUGGUUAGAGCGCCCUGCUCAUAUCUGCUAACAAGCGGGUACGGGGAGAUCGCGAGUUCGAUCCUCGCCGAGGGCA